UGGAGAUCCUGCUCCGUCGCCCCAGUGUUCAGACUACCUGUUCAGGACAAUGCCGUUGUACAGUAGUCUGCACAUUGGUUAGACUGGGCAAGGGAGAGCA
rnacentral:pre_miRNA from 10 species